UCUGGAGCUUCCUCUUUCAAAAGUACUGCGUGACACAGAGCUCUGAGCUGUAUGCACAUUGCUGUGUAAGUAAAACACCUUUCGACAGGCCGCCUUUGUUCAGCCAUCAAAAUUCAAAUGUCAGUGAUCGCCCUGUCAACCAGAAGAAGCUAUAUCUUGAAGCCAGAUGCAACAUUAACCCCACCUCUGUGGGUAUUUGGAAUUUCCUACCCCACUUUCUUGAGAAUCGAGCUGCUCUGUGAACAAUCCUGUGAAGCUUGUAUGAAGCAGAGCUGCAAGAAGUUGCAGAAGGAGGUAGGGAGCCUCUGCAGCUAUGUGAAGAGCCCAGGGCUUUGUCACAGAUGAUUAGGACAAAGUAUAAAAGCUGCUGAUUGCAGAAUGGGUCACCUUAGUUGUCUAGAUCGAGGGAAACUGAGUCAAGGCUCUUUGGCCAGGCUUCCCUGUGGACUGGCAACAGCAGCCUAUCUCCUCUAGAAACCUCAUUUAGCUGCUGGUGGUCAGCUGGAAAGCAUCCCAGAAAACUCCUUGUUAUAUAGUGAUUAAUGUCUAGCAAAUCACUGUUUUUCCUGAUCUGAGCCUGGACUGGGCUGGCUAACGAGGCAUUGACACAGAUGAGUACAUAACUGCCUGAGAAAAGUAGCCUCCUUCAUAACAAGCUGACUCUGAAUGCACCUGCCUCUUCUACCUUUCAUUAAACUUGCCAGUUUACUAAUGUUCAAAAAGCUGCAUUUUCUCUUCCUCAGUUAACUAUUUCAUUUCAGGAUGUUAGCCCAACUGUAAUCUUGUGGUCCAGUUUUGCAUACUGUAGUAACAUGGGAUUUAUUUUGCUUUAACAAGUCCCUCUGCGUUACGCUUGAAGCAAAUACAUUUCUUAGCUUUCCCAGAACCCAUAAUAGAGAUCCCUAUAAACAUGACAGGACUUGCUGACAGAGAAAGCUAUUCAGAGGACAUGCUCAGAGCAAAUGCAUGCAGCAAAACAUCUAACGCAUCCAAAAGGAAUUACAACACAGAGGGCACCUCAGCAUGUUUAUCCUUUCAUGGAGUGCUAGUAAUUUGUGUUUUCUUACUUCAGUAGUCUAACAGUUCUUUGCAAGUGUGCAAGGACAAGCCAGAUUUCUAUUAUGUGGCAUAUAUAAUUCACAUGAAAUGUAAAAAAAAAAAUAAAUAUCAGACAUAGCCUUUCCAAAAUUCUUUAUUUCAGUAAUUUGUCUGAGCCUAUGUAUGGGUCUACCAGAAAAUUCAACUUACAGACAUAGAAGGUGGUAUUUAUAUUUAAAGUAUAAUAUGCAGGCCAGUCAUGCUUAUUUGACCAUAAAUGCAUUUUUACUUUCAUGACUGGAACAAGCUGAUGAAGGAAGUUUUACAUACUUUAUUAGCAAUUACCCUGGACACAUAGUACUAGUAUGCAUCAGAACAAGCAGUCUCCAAGAAUACAAUGGAAUUCAACAACCUGAAAUGAAGUAUGACAGAACAGGCCUGGCUCUCCGAGGUGGUGGAGCUAGCAGGAAAAUAUGUCUAUAAGCCACUUCUGGGUUAUGAAGACCAAGAAUGUCUAUGAACAGGAAUGCGUCACCCCCACUCUCCAAAGAACCAAGCCUUAGGUACCACCCCAGAGUGCUUGUUUAAUUAGAACAGCCAAAGAAAGGCAGAAGGAGAGGUUGAGAUUUGGCCUACAAUUUGGUAGACUUAUCCUCAUAGCUCAGAGAUAUCUCUUAGCUCUAUAGCUUUCACAAUGGAAGAUGAAAUAAAAAAGCCAUUCAGUCGGGAGAUUCUGUACAUUUUCCAGUGAGAUUCAAAACACUGAAGUUCUGUCUCUUCAGAUUCUGCAAUCUCUGUAUAAAAUGUAGGAACUGAGUUUUUCAGUCUUGCUGUGUAGUCAUGAUUCUGCUUUUUUUCCUGCCUAGAGUCUUAUAAAUUCAUCCAUGUAAUGAGCUCCCCAGACUCGUCCUAUUUAUUACAAUACUUACAAAUCAGAAAACCACCUUUAGAACACUUUCUUUUGAUAGAUGCCAACCAUUUCAGUAGCAUCUGUCUACUAGCAAACAAGGAUGAAAACAUGCAGUCUAUGGUGGAGCCUGGGUGUUUUCGGCAGAAUUUUAAAGGAAUGUUUUCCUGUCCCAUCCCAGUAUUGAUGCCAAUCCUACACUUAAAGAAAUAGGUCAGCAAGAGCUGCAUUGCCUGGGGUCCUUAUUAUCCUUCUGCUGCAGUGAAAUGGAAGCUGUCUUCAAACGCUGAAAAAGAAGAUAGAAAAUUCUGUUCAAAUAGAUCUAAAUUUAAAAGCUAACAUUACAGAUCUUGGUACAGCACAGAAAAGAAGCUGACUUGCAGCUGACCUCUCUCAGUCCCAGGCACCCUCUUUCUCCAGGGUUUUGGUAUCCAUGUCAGUACAGACCAUCACAGAUAAACACAAGGAUAGGCAGAGAAAUUUGAAGAAGUUUUCAAGGAGUUCAAACAACUGUCCUGUUUUCUAGGGAACAGCAGCAGUCUGGUGCAUACAGGUACUAUUUUGCAUUACUGUGCUCUGGGCUUUUCUGUCUGUCUGUAAGUUUUGACUCUUAAUGGUAUUUCCUCCCCCAUGAAUAACACUGGUGUAAAUUCAGGGGCAAAGAGUUGAGCUGCCGAGCAGAGAGGAUCAGAGAGCAUGCUGGUUUCUCAAAUAUAUGACAGUAAGACAUGAGGCAAAGGGUUCUCACAAAGGUCUCAGGCAAGACAGAGGUAGGUAAGGAGUAAUUCUGCUGGGGCACUGUCCUGAGCAUGAGAAGAUGGAAGAGAUAGAUGUUACCACUAUCAGGAGCAGAGAGAGACAGCCAACAGCAACCAGUUUGCUACCUCCUGAGUGGUCCAGUGGCACACAGCAGCAGGCCUGAAGGGUGUUAAUCAAAGGACAUGGUUGUGACAUUGAGAGGAGCUCACUCGGCUCAUAAAACUGACUAAGCUUCUGGAGCACAAACCUAGACAUCUGCUGCCCAUUCAAAUUCCACACUGCUGCGUAAAUUGCAGAGGUAUACAGUUAAGACUGAGAAAGUAAAAGUAAAAUCAAAAUUGCCCAAGUCUUAAGGUCCAAUGCAAUAUAUUUUAGUUUAUACUUUAGCAUACUUUUGCCUGCUUUGGCAUUAAAGUAAUGAAUUCUUGUCAGUGGAUAUUUUGUUGAACUAGGUAACAGGCUACUUCUUUCACUUCACUGGCAGAGCCAGUGCUGGACUGAUAUAAAGUCAGACAUCUGCAUGCUUGGCUAUUAAAUCUACAGGGUCUUAUUCCUAACUAUACCCCAGAAAAGCAUGACAGAAUGACCUAUAAAAACAAACAAAGAAAUUAUAGCCAUUCUUGUAAAGGCUAGGGAGGGAAAAAUACACCCCAGAAAAACCCCAACACUGAAAAGGCAAAGUGACUUUCCCUUGGAGGUAAUCUGUCUAUACAGGAAAACUCAGUGGUAUGGUUCUGCAGUUUCACAUUUCACCUAAACACAGAAAAGGAGCGAGCUUAUUUCUCAGCCUUUAUGUGAGCUAAACUCUCAACUAGACUGCAAAGCUUAUAGUACAGAGCUACAAACAGAAAGAACUGUUUGUCUGCUGGAGUGGUGCCAGAUUCAGUCGCUGGUGUCCUGCAUGUUUUCCCACAUUUCUCUCCGCCAUUGCAGAAUCCAUCUGAGAGUAGAGUGCUGAGGCUCUAAGCAAUAGUCCCCAGAACCCAUUUCUGAAUGGGGUAUGGAAAUAGUGUUUUCUCAAAAAGAUGGCAUUUCUGUCACUCCUGUGUCACAUCUAGUAGAACAAUGCUUUCAUUGAUUUAUAGCAACAAAGCGACUGCUUUUUCAGAGCAUGACAUUUACUAUUAUCUCUUUGCAAAGCACAACAAUCUCAGGGCAAGGGAAAGAAGACUUGGAUAUUGAUUAAAA